rnacentral:lncRNA from 1 species
UCCCAACUACUUGCAAUUCAUACACACUAGCGCAUAAUCGUCACUGGCUUUGGGAUUGAGACAUUCAUUGGCAUAAUGAUCAAUCUAUCUACAACAAAAACAAUAAAAUAGUCUUUUUGCACCUCCAUCUGGCAUAUUGGGUGUCUCCAUUGGUAUAUACCUACUAGGCUUGUUCCAUGUAGGAUUAAAAAAUGAUCUUAGUUGUCCCAUUGGUACAGAGGGUACUUGGUUCGAUGACGCCGA